UACGUAGGGACCGAGCGUUGUCCGGAUUCAUUGGGCGUAAAGAGCUCGUAGGCGGCUAUUCAAGUCGAACGUGAAAUCUCGGAGCUCAACUCCGAAACUGCGUUCGAUACUGGGUAGCUAGAGUCUGGUAGGGGGAUCUGGAAUUCCUGGUGUAGCGGUGGAAUGCGCAGAUACCAGGAGGAACACCGGUGGCGAAGGCGGGAUCCUGGGCCAGUACUGACGCUGAGGCGCGAAAGCUGGGGGAGCAAACGGG
rnacentral:rRNA from 1 species